AUACGGAGGGUGCAAGCGUUAUCCGGAUUCAUUGGGUUUAAAGGGUGCGCAGGCGGACUUGUAAGUCAGUGGUGAAAUCCCGGGGCUCAACCUCGGAACUGCCAUUGAUACUGCAAGUCUUGAGUUUGGUUGAAGUGGGCGGAAUGUAGCAUGUAGCGGUGAAAUGCAUAGAUAUGCUACAGAACACCGAUCGCGAAGGCAGCUCACUAAACCAACACUGACGCUCAGGCACGAAAGCGUGGGGAGCGAACAGGAUUAGAUACCCCAGUAGUCC
rnacentral:rRNA from 1 species